GUCCGUAUAGCUCAGUUGGAUAGAGCGACUGCCUCCUAAGCAGUAGGUCGGGGAUUCGAGUUCCUUUACGGACGCCA
rnacentral:tRNA from 1 species